rnacentral:lncRNA from 1 species
GGGAUCUUUUCCCCAAAUAUUUUGGGUUUCUGUUUUUUCUCUUCCCACACUGUUUUAGGAGCAGAAUCCUGAAUUUUCCACCCCUUUUUUUUGCCCAUUUUGUCCCCAAAAUUCCCCAAUAAAAUCAGCACCCGCUCCCUCUUUUCUGGGCCAUUUUUGGGGGGAAUUUUUUGGGAAUUUCUUGGGAAUUUUGGGAUCUUUUCCCCAAAUAUUUUGGAUUUCCUCUCCUCCUCUUCCCACGUUAUUUUGGGAGCAGAAUCCCGAAUUUUCCACCCCUUUUUUUUACCUUUUUCUUCCCGUUUUUCCCCCAAUAACAGCACCGACACCUCCCUUGUUUCUGGGCCGUUUUCUGGGGGGAAUUUUGCAGGAAUUUCACUGAAAUUUCCCCGGAAUUUGUUCCGGAAGUUUCUGUCUCAGAGCCGGAACACAUAG